CCUACGGGAGGCAGCAGUGAGGAAUAUUGGUCAAUGGACGAGAGUCUGAACCAGCCAAGUCGCGUGAAGGAUGACUGCCCUAUGGGUUGUAAACUUCUUUUAUAAGGGAAUAAAACGAGGCACGUGUGCCUUUUUGCAUGUACUUGAUGAAUAAGCAUCGGCUAACUCCGUGCCAGCAGCCGCGGUAAUACGGAGGAUCCGAGCGUUAUCCGGAUUUAUUGGGUUUAAAGGGUGCGUAGACGGGUUGUUAAGUCAGUUGUGAAAGUUUGGGGCUCAACCGUAAAAUUGCAGUUGAUACUGGCAGUCUUGAGUACAGUUGAGGUAGGCGGAAUGCGUGGUGUAGCGGUGAAAUGCUUAGAUAUCACGAAGAACCCCGAUUGCGAAGGCAGCUUACUAGACUGUGACUGACAUUGAUGCACGAAAGUGUGGGUAUCAAACAGGAUUAGAUACCCCGGUAGUC
rnacentral:rRNA from 1 species